UACGUAGGGGGCAAGCGUUGUCCGGAAUCAUUGGGCGUAAAGAGCUUGUAGGCGGCUUGUCGCGUCUGCUGUGAAAUUUCGGGGCUCAACCCCGAACUUGCAGUGGGUACGGGCAGACUAGAGUGUGGUAGGGGAGACUGGAAUUCCUGGUGUAGCGGUGAAAUGCGCAGAUAUCAGGAGGAACACCGGUGGCGAAGGCGGGUCUCUGGGCCGUAACUGACGCUGAGGAGCGAAAGCUAGGGGAGCAAACGGG
rnacentral:rRNA from 1 species